rnacentral:rRNA from 1 species
UACGUAGGUGGAAAGCGUUGUCCGGAAUUAUUGGGCGUAAAGCGCGCGCAGGCGGCCUCUUAAGUCUGAUGUGAAAGCCCCCGGCUCAACCGGGGAGGGCCAUUGGAAACUGGGAGGCUUGAGUAUAGGAGAGAAGAGUGGAAUUCCACGUGUAGCGGUGAAAUGCGUAGAGAUGUGGAGGAACACCAGUGGCGAAGGCGACGUCUUUGGCCUAUAACUGACGCUGAGGCGCGAAAGCGUGGGGAGCAAACAGG